AUGUCCACACCUGGCAUCCAAACUGGUGAACCCUGGGCCAUCAAAGCGGAACGUGCAAACUUAACUGCUGUGCCACUGGGCCAGUCCUCAUUGUUCUCACUUCUUGGAUGCCAACAGCUUCUCUGGGAGAUGUCUGCACCCAACAUAGCCAGAUCCUGGGUCCAGCCCCAACGUCAGCCCAGAUGGGACAGUUCCAGGGGGACAUGCUGGUGGCUUCAACCCCCGCUCCGUUUCUCUGCCAGGGUCUCUCUCCUCCCCGGCAGCCUGGACUCCCUCGCCCCAAGAGCUGCUCUUCAUUCGCAGGUGAUGGUCUGUGUAAACCCUCCUCUUGCCGUCAGACUUUGGACCCCGUCCUUGCACAACAACCACCUGGCUAAAGGGAGAUUUGCCUCCUUCUCGGACUGGUUUUCAUGAUAAGAUCCACCCUAUUAGCUGGAAACUUCUCUGCUGAGCCAUCUGCUCUCACGUCAGCCCCAUUAGGAUAGGGAUUUUUGCUGUUUUCUUUAAUUGCACAUUGAGGGCCGUUAGGAAGUAUAUAUAUAUAUGUCUAUUUUAGGAAAUAUAUUUUUGAAUGAAUAGCAUCCUCCCUUAAAUUUCUUCUUUGAUCACAGGGUGGGGAGGAGAGAGAAACUAUAAAUGCAUCAUAGCCCCUUAGUUCUCUCGGGAAAAUGCGUGUUCACUCCCAGAAGUGUGCUAGAAGCUAAGUGAGGCACGUUGGAGCGCAUCCUGUGAUGCGCUGCUGGCAUGAAGGACGCCGUGGAGAGACAACAGCGAGGUUGAAAGACUUGCAGAUAUUGUCAUGCUCAUCUUCGGAUUUAGCAACAAUGAAGUUUUGUGAGGAAAUCAAGGAACUCCCAAAUGCUUUCAACACCGACACCGUCCGUUCUUUAGACACCACUUUUCAUGGGUUUGCAAAAAAGGAUCGGCUCGGUUUUUCCCAGUAGGCAAGCUGGGAGGAGAGGGACCGGCCUGUGUGGUGGGUUGAAGAUCUGCACAGCAGGCUCUGCCCUGGGAGGGCGUUCCAGAGGUUAUGGAGCCGGAGAGCAGAACCAGCCCCUUCAAACGCACAGGUGGCUGGCGAGUGGAACAGUUCGCUCACUGAUAGUUCCCAAUUUUGAAUGUAUCUUUUUGUUUAAAAUGUCUUUAUCAGAUACCAAAUGUUACAGGAAUUGUAGGUGAAAUGAAUUAAAAGUAGAAACAAUAUUUUGUCCUUUGUCAUUUGAGAGAAAUGAUGAAUAUUCCAAAACCAUUUGGCAGAAAGCAGGGGAUGAUGGCCCCUCUUCCCCUCCCCAGGGGUGAAGGCAGUGUUCCUUUAUUUUUAGUGAGGGAGAUUGGUCCUGAGCUAACAUCCAUUGUCAAUCAGGAAGAUUGUCCCUGAGCUAACAUCUGUGCCAACCUUCCUCCACUUUUGUAU
rnacentral:lncRNA from 1 species